AGUGAACGCUGGCGGUAGGCCUAACACAUGCAAGUCGAACGGCAGCACAGUAAGAGCUUGCUCUUACGGGUGGCGAGUGGCGGACGGGUGAGGAAUACAUCGGAAUCUACUUUUUCGUGGGGGAUAACGUAGGGAAACUUACGCUAAUACCGCAUACGACCUACGGGUGAAAGCAGGGGAUCUUCGGACCUUGCGCGAUUGAAUGAGCCGAUGUCGGAUUAGCUAGUUGGCGGGGUAAAGGCCCACCAAGGCGACGAUCCGUAGCUGGUCUGAGAGGAUGAUCAGCCACACUGGAACUGAGACACGGUCCAGACUCCUACGGGAGGCGGCAGUGGGGAAUAUUGGACAAUGGGCGCAAGCCUGAUCCAGCCAUACCGCGUGGGUGAAGAAGGCCCUCGGGUUGUAAAGCCCUUUUGUUGGGAAAGAAAAGCAGCAGGUUAAUACCCCGCUGUUCUGACGGUACCCAAAGAAUAAGCACCGGCUAACUUCGUG
rnacentral:rRNA from 1 species